AACUAUUGAAACGAUUGAAACUCCCACAUUCAUCUAAUUUUAAAUAACAUUCACUCCCCUACUAACAUUUUAGUUUCCUUUUCUCUAUUAUCUAAACCUUGCUAUCCAUCUCAUUUUCCAUCAUUACUAAGUAUAAUUUCUUUCUAUUUAUAAGUUGUUUUUCCUUAUUUGUUUAAUUUUCAUCACGUUCAAGUGUCUUUGAAGUUUCAUUCCAAGCAUAGGUAUGUCUCAUGGCCUUAAAUUCAUGUGAUUUAAUUUUUGAAAUAGCUUGAAUGAGAGAAAAUUUUGAUUGUGUAUACUGGUGUGAGUUGAAAAAUAAUGAUGUAUGUUAUAUUAUAGUAGAGCCUAUGUUAGGGUGAAAUCUGAGUAACCCCACUAUGGUAUGAAUCUUGAUGGGAUCUUGAGUGAAAAUUAAGAUACUAUCAAGUAUAAAACGUAGGCACAAGUGUUCGACAAAAUGCCCCAAAGAUAUUGUGCUGAAUUGGGCAUUGCGAUGAGGUACCUAACAAACCGUCACAUAUGCGAUGGAUCAUCGGUACAAUCGUCAGCCCAAAAUUAUUGAAAGUUAGAACACUGGUUAAAUCACGAUGGAUAGGGAGACUGGCCAUCAUAGGUGCAACGAAUUGUAGCUUGUACCGUUGUUUCAUAUUAAAUUAAAGAAUGAUUCUAGAAAGGUACAAUGGUUAACACGAUGAGUCAUUGGACAUGCGAUGAACCAUCUAGUUUGGCGUCAGUGGUCUGCUAAUAACACUAUUUAAGGUGCGACAGGUGGGGCGACUGAUCGUUGCUUACUCGACGGAUCGUUGUCCUAGUCGUCGCCCUUAACCAGAUUUGUAUUUCAUUUCUACUAGACUCAUGAUUUCUGUUACCUAACUUUGUGUUUUUUACCUCGUAACUCAGGUAAUAUGACCCAAAAACUACCUUCAAAUAGAGGUGGAGGUAGAUUUCGGCCAUCUCAUAAGGAAAUCACCUCAAGACUUUGUGAUAAACCAAAAGGGGAUAUUGAAGCCCCGGCCUACCACACUUAGCAAAGUUAAAAGAAAUGUCAUCCACUCUCCUAAUCUAAUGAGGAGAGUGAAUCAUUGAGUAUAGAGGCCAACAGUGAAAGUGAAAGUAAAAGCAAUGGCAGUUCUACUUCAAGCCCGGAUGGUGGAGGAGAAAAAAAAGACUCCACUAAUCCUACCAAAGAUCCAGAAUAGAAGAAAGAUGAUAUAAUUCAUAGUGUGGAACCUGAGGUCUGAGAGACAAUCCGGUGAAAGGUUGAAGGGUUAAGGGUUAAGUAAACAUUACUAUGAUGACUUUCAAUUUACACAAAGCUGAAGUAUGAAAAGGCCAAUUGUCAAAGAAUUACAAAUCAUUACCACAGAUCUUCCGAAAUAUCCUAAUUUGGAGAGGUAAUUUAAUGACUAUGAGUUGGGAUAUUUGAGUAGACCCCUUAAAUCAUGUUACCACAAUAUUUUUAAGUAAUUCUUUGCAAAUUACCUAGCAAUAUUGGAGAAAGAUUGUCCAAAAGGGUCAAAGGUGGCUAAUAUGAGGAAUAUGACUGGAAUCCUAGUAAGACGAGUAACUAUGGACAUCUCAAAUCACACCAUCAAUCGAAUAUUAUGCGGUCGGCUAUAUACCAUUCCCAUAAUUACCCCGAAGCUUGAGCAUCGAAUGAUUACUGUAUCUACUCAGAGGCUGUGGUUAGUAAAAAUUUUGAUAGAUAGUGGGGACCCAUCAUAACUAAGGAAAAGAGAGAGAUUUGAGAAAUCUAUAUUGAUAUUAAAAGCUAAAUUUUGGUGGGAUGUGGUAAGAUUGAGUUUUAUGCCGAUAGGGGAAGAUGCAAAUUUUGAUCCACAACGGGUAGCGUUGGUGGUCAUUUUGAUUGAAGGGAUGAAAAUUAACUUCGGCCAAAUUAUAGAUGAUAAGUUAUUUGUGAGGGCAUAAAAAAUUCUAGUGCUCUGCCUUUCCCUUUAUUAUUAAUGAGUUUUGUAGGCAGAAAAAUAUGCCAAUUAUUCAAGGAGUAAAUAAUAAAGUUCGGGCUACAAGGAGACAUGACAUUAAGAAGAUGAGGGUUGCACAAAGUUUGAGAUGAGAGUGCAUAAGUCACCUACAUUUGUGACAUAGUCCUAAAUCAAUCCAGAGGCAUCAGAUGGACCUUUAGAUAUGUCGUUGCCUAUUGCUAUGAUUAUUUUGCAUGGCACUUCUGCAGUAUCAGGGUCGAUGCUUAUAGCUCCUACUGUUGAGACUAUAUAUACAAUAUCCAUGGCACCAAUGUUUCAAAGUACAGGUUGACCCCAAAAAUUUUGUAAAAAUGGUUAAAGCUUAGAAAAAGUUUGAACUACAACUUAAUAUUUGGGCAAAAAAGUUUAAGCCGUUUGUGGACAGAGUUGUAACGCAGGUUUUGAAUCUAUAUAAGGAUCUACACACAAGAAUGGAUGAUAUGGAAGAAAGGGUGAACAAAAGGCUGAGAGAGAAAUUCUAGAUCAAUCUAGGUUCAAUGCAGAGUUAAAGCAGACACAAAAUAAUAUAGCUGAGUUGCAAAGGCAACUAAUUCUAGGAUAUUUUGACCCAAUAUUUGUAGAGGUAGAUGAAAAAGAUGACAUUAUUAAUAUGAUGGGACUACCAUUGAAAGUCAAAGGUAAAGCUGUGAGUGAAAGUGGUGAGAAGAGAUCUUCAAGAAAUAAAAAGCAUAGGGAUGAUAAGAAUGAAGAAAGAGUUGUGCAAAAUUCAAUGAGAAGAUCAAGAAAAUAUGAAAAAGCAAGAAAGAUGAGAGUUGAAGAUGAAGCUUCUGGUGUGUCUACUAGUUCAGCUUUGGGAGGUGGUCAUAGGACAUUGGUUUUACGAGUAUCCACUCUAGUUUCUAAGGAAGUGGGUAAUUUAAGCACCACAAUUAUUGCUGGAGUCACUAUUGAUAAUACCAAGGCCAGUGAGGCCUCCCAUGUUUCGACAGAUUCCCAACCGUAAAGGCUUUUCAAGUAUUCUACUCCUCUGUACUUUACUAAUUAUUCAUUGAGGACAAAAUAUUUUUUUAGUAAGGGUAGGGUACUUGUAUCUAUUAGGUAGUCUAUCGCCACGAGGGUGUUUAUAGCCUGCGUUCUUUUCCAUCAUGCAUUAUCUAGGAGAACUAUCAUAUUUAGGAGUUUUAUUUCAUUAUUCUAUUUUUAUUAUUUUCAUGUGACUAUACAUAUGUUCUAUUUUUAUUUCUUUCAUGUGAUUGUACAUAUCAUAUGUGCUGUAAGAAAAUAAUUGAAUGAAAAGUUAUUGGAGUUGUUGGAAUGUUGUAAAAUAAGGACAAUCCUAAGAAAAAAAUUUAUAAUCUUGUAAAUAUUCUUUGAUGAUUAACCAUUGUAGAUCUAUACUUGGCAUUAGAAUCGCCAGGUAAAGUAAGUGUGUUUAAGCUAAACGCAAGUCUGAAGAUUAGUACCAUAAGUAAUAGUUCACCGCUAUGUGUGUGAGGAUUUUCUGCAUUUCCUACUUUGUGUAUGCAUCUAGAAUUUGCCUGGUUCAAUGUGUUAAGUGAUAGUUGGUUAAUAGGAUAGGAUCACAAGCCAUUUUUCAAUUGAGUCUACUUAGCCUUAAAAGCCUGACAAAAAAUGUAGUUAUUUGUAUACUCCUUUGGUCCCUUUUUAAGCUAAUAACUUUUUAUUUAGCACCCUUAACUCACCCUUUUCUAUUUUUAAAUCCCUAUUUUGUCCCUAGUCCCUCCUUGGACAUUGUGCACUUCAACUCAAGCAAAUUUUCAAAGUUGAGGGUGGCUACUAUAAAGAGUUAACAAGUUAAUGGUAAGUUAAGGAAAGUUUGGGUAAUAGAUUUUUUCACUAGCCCUGGUCCCUUCUGGAUAUUGUGCACCUCAACUUUUAGCAUCAAUAUAAACUGAGGAUGGCUAGUGUGAAAGGUUUAAUAAAUGAUCUAAAUCAAGAGGUUGGAACUGUUUAAUAGGAGUUGUACAAGUAUAUUUCAAAAAACGGCUUUAGGUCACUAAGAGGGCAACAUAAAGUGGAAACUAAAUUUAUAUAGUAGCAACGAUAGCAAGAAGGGUUGAGACACUAUUUCAAAAACAUAUCUUACCUGUACCCAAACCUUCAUUAUAAGCCUAAGUAAGUCAUGUAGUGAUCCUUGUUAAUCAACUUGAUGGAAUGAUAAGGGCAAGCCUAUGGCUUUGCGUAUACUUUGUUUGGAAUUUAUUGUGAGAGUGAGAGAUUUAAAUAAUGGUCCUUGAUUUAAAUCGAUCAAUGUGCCAUUAUUUGUUUUGAGAUGAGCGCAUGUGAACUAUACUUAUGAUUGCUGAUCCUUGGAUGUGGUGUUCUAUGUCUAUACAUGUAACCUAGCUAGAGUGUGAUGCCAAGUAUGUAUUCCUAUGAUUUAGGAUUACAAAAUUUAUGUGCAUAUUAAAUUGUUAGUCCUUAAUAUCUGUAAUAGUUUCUCAUUCUUUCUUGAUCUAAAUACAUAUAUGAUAUUAUGUUGAGUUGCUUGAGGACAAACAAGCAUCUUAAGUUAAGGGUGUUGAUGUAUCGGCUUCUGAUGGUGUAUUUUACACCUUUUACGAGGGAUAAUUAUUUGUUUUCUAGAAACUGGUGGUGGUAUUUGAUAUGUUUUGUGCUUAUUCUCAGGAGUUAAACUUAGAAGCUUGAAAAGUUAUGAAAGUCAAGAACUUAAGAAUUUGCAACGAAUUAACUGACUGACGGGUCUGAGUCAAGAUGGACCAUCGAACUGCCACCGCCCUUAAGAAGAAUAUCAUAAAUAUCUGAGAUGGACGACGCCUUAAGUGAUGGAUUAUCAAGGUAUUGAUAUGUCAUCAUCGCGAUCAUCGGAGUUAACUAGAAUGUAUGUAAAAUUAGGAGUCAGUGACAAAAUGAGCAACGAGCCGUCGGCCCUACAACGAACCAUCUCCUAGGCCGUAGCCAACAACGCCGUAGUAGUAAAGCUCUGGAACAUCCGGGAUAGUUCAGCCAAUGAACCGUCGCUGCCCUGACAAACCACCAGGUGAACCGUCGGUGUUAAUGCG
rnacentral:lncRNA from 1 species